AACGGUCUAUACCUGCGGUACCUGCGGAGGGAUCAUUACUGAGUAACGUGGUCUUUGAUGGACCCGCUACCCGCCCUUUGUCAUAUGUUGGACGAGGUCGUCUUUAGGGGCGGCCUCCGACCCCACUUCCCGGGAGGCGUUGCGCCCCCAUCAAAGUCUAGGCUUUUGGUGGGGAUGGGACCGCCCGGGGUCUUUUUCCAAACCCUUUGUGAGAAAUCUGAAGUCUGAAGCGAAAGCUUA
rnacentral:misc_RNA from 1 species